UACGUAGGGUGCGAGCGUUAAUCGGAAUUACUGGGCGUAAAGCGUGCGCAGGCGGUUUUGUAAGCCAGAUGUGAAAUCCCCGGGCUUAACCUGGGAAUGGCAUUUGGGACUGCAAGGCUCGAGUGCGGCAGAGGAGACUGGAAUUCCUGGUGUAGCAGUGAAAUGCGUAGAUAUCAGGAGGAACACCGAUGGCGAAGGCAGCCCCCUGGGUCGACACUGACGCUCAGGCACGAAAGCGUGGGGAGCAAACAGG
rnacentral:rRNA from 1 species